rnacentral:misc_RNA from 1 species
UCUUUUUUUUUUUUUUUUUUGUCUCUUGAUCUUGCAAUUAUAAAUAAGAUUUUGUGGUAAAAAAUUUAAGAUAAUCAAACUCCAACUGUAAUCAAAUUUUUGACAAUGUUGCAUAGAGGAGCAACAAAACCUGGCAUGUACUCCAGUUUCAAAGACUCAACUAAACCUUAAACGCAAUCUUAUUGGAAUGAGCUAUACAUUCUCCAAUUUCAAAUAAAUAAAUAAAUAUAUAUAAAACUUUGGCAUAUUUCUUGAUCAAAGUUAGAAGGCGUAACACUGUAAAUAUACAGAUCGCAUUCAUUGUUCCCUUUAGAUGCACAAACCAUAACAGUUAAAUGCACAGCUACUUUUGGACAAUAAUCAGGGAAAGACAGGUAAAAAAAGGGGGGAGAUGAAAUAAGUAAAUGGGACUCUGGGGAUUUCCCAACUAACUAAUGCACAAAGAACAUUUAAAAGAAAAGGCAAAAUUAGGUUAAUUUAUUAUUAGAGAAAGGUAGGAG